rnacentral:rRNA from 1 species
CCAGACUCCUACGGGAGGCAGCAGUGGGGAAUCUUCCGCAAUGGACGAAAGUCUGACGGAGCAACGCCGCGUGAGUGAUGACGGCCUUCGGGUUGUAAAGCUCUGUUAAUCGGGACGAAAGGCCUUCUUGCGAAUAGUGAGAAGGAUUGACGGUACCGGAAUAGAAAGCCACGGCUAACUACGUGCCAGCAGCCGCGGUAAUACGUAGGUGGCAAGCGUUGUCCGGAAUUAUUGGGCGUAAAGCGCGCGCAGGCGGAUCGGUCAGUCUGUCUUAAAAGUUCGGGGCUUAACCCCGUGAUGGGAUGGAAACUGC